ACCAGCACGUUAUGGUGGGCACUCUAAGGAGACUGCCGGUGGACAAACCGGAGGAAGGUGGGGAGUGACGUCAAGUCAUCAUGGCCCUUACGGCCUGGGCUACACACGUGCUACAAUGGUCGGUACAAAGGGUUGCCAAGCCGCGAGGUGGAGCUAAUCCCAUAAAACCGAUCGUAGUCCGGAUCGCAGUCUGCAACUCGACUGCGUGAAGUCGGAAUCGCUAGUAAUCGUGAAUCAGAAUGUCACGGUGAAUACGUUCCCGGGCCUU
rnacentral:rRNA from 1 species